CAGCGAGACUCACAUGAACGUGCUGCUCGUAAAACCGGACACGGUUUCCAUCAGGAGGCCAGCAUCUCAUGGAAGAGGAUGAAGAUCCUCCCAUUGCCUCGGAACCCGUCGAAAUGUCAGUGACUGCACAGAGUUUCGCUACUGAUUAUUUCAGAACGAGACUAGUAGACACUUUGGGAAGAAUAUCAAGAGGUGAAGAGGACCCGGUGCCAGUAUCGACUAAAAGUUUUCAGUUGUAUUCUACACUUGAAUCCAGGAUAAUCGCGAAUACCCGCCUCGCCGUCUGCCAGUUCAACUGUCUGAAGAACACUUACACACGCAACAACAUCUUUACUAUUCCUGAAGGCAAAUUUUUCUGUCAACUAUUUACUGGCAGCAAAAGAGAGGUGAUAUUCCCCAUUCUCCAGCAGAUAAUGGCAAGGAAAAACAGAGAUGGAGGCAACGAGACAAAACGAGAUGGAGGAGAGAGAGAGGAGAGAGAGAAACAAAAAAAGAGAGGAGGAGAGAGAGAGAGAGAGAGAGAGAGAGAGAGAGAGAGAGAGAGAGAGAGAGAGAGAGAGAGAGAGAGAGAGAGAGAAAGAGAGACAGACAGACAGACAGAGACAGAGACAGAGAGAUAAACGGACAUAGUAUAUCUCCCUCCUCACAGUCCCGGCGUCAGACACGGAGUGAAUCUCCGUCCACACCAUCCCAUUGCACACUCUCACCGGGUAAGACGCAGAGUGAAUCUCCCUCCACACAGAUCCAUCACACACUCCCCGGGUUAGCCAUAGUGAGAAUCUCCCACCACACCGUCCCAUCAUACACUCACAGAUCGGACACAGAGUGAAUUUCCCUCUAAACCGUCCCAUCACACACUCCCGGGGUCAGACAUAGAGCGAAUCUCCGUCCAGACCGUCAUAUCAGAAAUUCCCGGAGUACGAAACAAGGUGAAACUCCAUUCAGACCGAUCCGUCAGACACUCCCGCGGUCAGACAGAGAGCGAAUCUCACUCCACACCGUAACAGCACACACUCACGGGUCAGACUCAGAGUGAAUCUACCUCCACAUUGUCCCAUCACACACUCCCGGCGUCAGACCGAGGGAACCUCAGUCCACACCGUCCCAUCACACACUCCCGGGGUCAGACACUGAGUGUAUCUCCCUCCACCCGGACCCAUCACACACUCCCGGGGUCAGACACAGAGUGAAUCUCCAUCAACACCGUCCCGUCACACACUCCCGGGGUCAGACACAGAG